UUUUCCUGCCAGUACACCUGAUGGCCUCUGCAUUUCUAUUCCACCACUCUUGAACAUCUUCAAAAUCCAUGGAAACUCUCUGCAGGACUGCUUCCUUAAAUCUGUUCCUCAAGACUGUGCCGUUUAGUUUGAACCACUUGGUUUUCUUCACCUUAGCCUUAGUCUUCACUUUCUUCCUGACUGCAGGCAUCAAAAGUUGGAGAUCCAUGAACAUUGGAUGGUGUUGUGUUGCCACGUGAUUACUAGGGAUGACUUUGUAGUUCUUCACGUCCUUCAGAUAUUUUCUCAUGUACAGAAAGUAGUCAAUCUGUGUGCUAUUUCCAUCACUUUUGAAGGUGAUCAAGUGCUCUUCUUUCUUGUUGAAGAAAGAGUUGGUCAGGGCAAAAUCGAUGAUUUGUUCACCUUUCUGGUUCAUGUCUCC
rnacentral:lncRNA from 1 species